rnacentral:rRNA from 1 species
UGAGGAAUAUUGGGCAAUGCCCGCAAGGGUGACCCAGCAACGCCGCGUGGAGGAUGAAUGUCGUAAGAUUGUAAACUCCUGUUAGAGGGGAAGAAUAGUACCGGUUGGGCCGGUAUAUGACUGUACCCUCAGAGAAAGCCCCGGCUAACUACGUGCCAGCAGCCGCGGUAAUACGUAGGGGGCAAGCGUUGUCCGGAUUUACUGGGUGUAAAGGGCGCGCAGGCGGGAUAAAAAGUCAGUGGUGAAAUCCUACAGCUUAACUGUAGAACUGCCUUUGAUACUUUUAUUCUUGAGUUCGGGAGAGAGAGACGGAAUUCCAGGUGUAGGGGUGAAAUACGUAUAUAUCUGGAAGAACACCAGUUGCGAAGGCGGUCUCUUGGUCCGACACUGACGCUGAGGCGCGAAAGCGUGGGGA